rnacentral:sRNA from 1 species
AUGGCUGUCGUCAGCUCGUGUCGUGAGAUGUUGGGUUAAGUCCCGCAACGAGCGCAACCCUUAUUCUAUGUUGCCAGCGGAUUAUGCCGGGGACUCGUAGAAGACUGCCGGGGUCAACUCGGAGGAAGGUGGGGACGACGUCAAGUCAUCAUGCCCCUUAUGUCCAGGGCUGCAAACACGCUACAAUGGCCGGUACAAAGGGCUGCUAACUCGCGAGAGCCAGCGAAUCCCGUAAAGCCGGUCUCAGUUCGGAUUGGAGGCUGCAACUCGCCUCCAUGAAGCUGGAGUUGCUAGUAAUCCCGGAUCAGCACGCCGGGGUGAAUACGUUCCCGGGCCUUGUACACACCGCCCGUCACACCACGAAAGUCGGCAACACCCGAAGCCGGUGGCCUAACCCGUAAGGGGAGGAGCCGUCGAAGGUGGGGUCGGUGAUUGGGGUGAAGUCGUAACAAGGUAGCCGUACCGGAAGGUGCGGCUGGAUCACCUCCUUUCUAAGGAGAACAGUUCAAUCGUUGGUAGGCAUUCGUCCUACCCGGUUCGAACCACUCCCAGUUGGUGCAUUGGUGGGUCAGUCGAAAUGGCAGGUCAAUCGCAGGAUUCGUCCUCUUGGCAUGCCGGCUCGACGAGCUUUGUCUUCUCUUCCGUUUUGAGGGAGUCGACCCAUUUGGGUUGUCGACCCUCGGCGCACGGCACGGAGCUCACGCUCCCGCUGCCCACGGAGUGCCCCGCACGAUUCGACUCUGCCAAUGGCGGUUUCCAGCAAUGGAGAUUCGUCAGGUAGUCAUCGUGUGAGAGGCCCCGUUCGCUGCCCUUUGAGAACUGCAGAGCAAGCACGAGCAUCUUUGUUCUUCCAAGCUACAAAGAGCCAACGGUGGAUGCCUUGGCGCCAAGAACCGAUGAAGGACGUGAGUGACUGCGAAAAGCUGCGGGGAACCGUCUACUAGGUAUUGAUCCGCAGAUGUCCGAAUGGGGAAACCCGG